GAAUUUGCAAUGCUUAAUUAAUGCUAUACUUAGGUUAAAAACAAGAGACAGACAUUUGUGUCUUUGUUAGAAAGCCGCAGCAAUCCUGGCAAAUGAUGAUUAAAUCCAGAGUGAGUAGAUUAUUCAAUGACCAGAAGACCCAAUUACUAUGCAGUAGUUCUAGAUUUUUAAACGUUUAUACCAGUGAAAAUAUAGUCAGUUUUU